ACUACGGUGAGCAGCAGUAGGGAAUCUUCCACAAUGGGCGAAAGCCUGAUGGAGCAACGCCGCGUGGGUGAAGAAGGUCUUCGGAUCGUAAAACCCUGUUGUUAGAGAAGAAAGUGCGUGAGAGUAACUGUUCACGUUUCGACGGUAUCUAACCAGAACGCCACGGCUAACUACGUGCCAGCAGCCGCGGUGAUACGUAGGUGGCAAGCGUUAUCCGGGUUUUUUGGGCGUAAAGGGAACGCAGGCGGUCUUUUAAGUCUGAUGUGAAAGCCUUCGGCUUAACCGGAGUAUUGCAUUGGAAACUGGGAGACUUGAGUGCAGAAGAGGAGAGUGGAACUCCAUGUGUAGCGGUGAAAUGCGUAGAUAUAUGGAAGAACACCAGUGGCGAAAGCGGCUCUCUGGUCUGUAACUGACGCUGAGGUUCGAAAGCGUGGGUAGCAAACAGGAUUAGAUACCCGUGUAGUC
rnacentral:rRNA from 1 species